UGAGGAAUAUUGGUCAAUGGGCGCUAGCCUGAACCAGCCAAGUAGCGUGAAGGAUGAAGGCUCUAUGGGUCGUAAACUUCUUUUAUAUAAGAAUAAAGUGCAGUAUGUAUACUGUUUUGUAUGUAUUAUAUGAAUAAGGAUCGGCUAACUCCGUGCCAGCAGUCGCGGUAAUACGGAGGAUCCGAGCGUUAUCCGGAUUUAUUGGGUUUAAAGGGAGCGCAGACGGGAUGUUAAGUCAGCUGUGAAAGUUUGCGGCUCAACCGUAAAAUUGCAGUUGAUACUGGCGUUCUUGAGUGCAGUUGAGGUGUGCGGAAUUCGUGGUGUAGCGGUGAAAUGCUUAGAUAUCACGAAGAACUCCGAUUGCGAAGGCAGCUCACUAAACUGUAACUGACGUUCAUG
rnacentral:rRNA from 1 species